rnacentral:rRNA from 1 species
UACGUAGGCAGCGAGCGUUGUUCGGAGUUACUGGGCGUAAAGGGUGUGUAGGCGGUUAUUUAAGUUUGGUGUGAAAUCUCCCGGCUCAACCGGGAGGGUGCGCCGAAUACUGAAUGACUUGGAGUGCGGGAGAGGUGAGUGGAAUUCCUGGUGUAGCGGUGAAAUGCGUAGAUAUCAGGAGGAACACCGGUGGUGUAGACGGCUCACUGGACCGUAACUGACGCUGAGACACGAAAGCGUGGGGAGCAAACAGG